rnacentral:tRNA from 1 species
UCGGCCCUGGCCUGUUCGUGCCGGGCGGCCCGGUCGUCCAGGUGCAGCGCGGGCACCGACAGCGGGUGGAACGCCCGCAGGACGAC